UACGUAGGCAGCAAGCGUUGUUCGGAUUUAUUGGGCGUAAAGAGCGUGUAGGCGGCUUUACAGGUCCGUUGUGAAAACUCGAGGCUCAACCUCGAGACGCCGGUGGAAACCGUAAAGCUAGAGUCCGGAAGAGGAGAGUGGAAUUCCUGGUGUAGCGGUGAAAUGACGCAGAUAUCAGGAAGAACACCCGUGGCGAAGGCGGCUCUCUGGGACGGUACUGACGGCUGAGAGGCGAAAGCGUGGGGAGCGAACAGG
rnacentral:rRNA from 1 species